GGGGGUACAGCUCAGGGGCAGGGCAUCUGACUACAGAUCAAGAGGUCCCCAGUUCAAGUCCAGGUGCCCCCU
rnacentral:tRNA from 1 species